GGUGAGGUGUCCGAGUGGUUGAAGGAGCACGCCUGGAAAGCGUGUAUGUAGGAAACUGCAUCAAGGGUUCGAAUCCCUUCCUCACCGCCA
rnacentral:tRNA from 1 species